AGAGCGAACGCUGGCGGCAGGCUUAACACAUGCAAGUCGAGCGGAUGUAGCAAUACAUCAGCGGCAGACGGGUGAGUAACACGUGGGAACGUACCUUUUGGUUCGGAACAACACAGGGAAACUUGUGCUAAUACCGGAUAAGCCCUUACGGGGAAAGAUUUAUCGCCGAAAGAUCGGCCCGCGUCUGAUUAGCUAGUUGGUGAGGUAAUGGCUCACCAAGGCGACGAUCAGUAGCUGGUCUGAGAGGAUGAUCAGCCACAUUGGGACUGAGACACGGCCCAAACUCCUACGGGAGGCAGCAGUGGGGAAUAUUGGACAAUGGGCGCAAGCCUGAUCCAGCCAUGCCGCGUGAGUGAUGACGGCCUUAGGGUUGUAAAGCUCUUUCGCUAGGGACGAUAAUGACGGUACCUAGACAAGAAGCCCGGCUAACUUCGCGCCAGCAGCCGC
rnacentral:rRNA from 1 species